CCUACGGGAGGCAGCAGUGGGGAAUAUUGCGCAAUGGGGGAAACCCUGAUGCAGCAACGCCGCGUGAGGGAGGAAGUAUUUCGGUAUGUAAAGCUCUAUCAGCAGGGAAGAGAAGAGAACGUACCUGAACAAGAAGCCCCGGCUAACUACGGUCCAGCAGCCCCGGUAAUACGUAGGGGGCAAGCGUUAUCCGGAUUUACUGGGUGUAAAGGGAGCGUAGACGGAAAGGCAAGUCAGAAGUGAAAGCCCAAGGCUCAACCAUGGGACUGCAUUUGAAACUGUCAAACUAGAGUACGGGAGAGGUAAGAGGAAUUCCUAGUGUAGCGGUGAAAUGCGUAGAUAUUAGGAGGAACACCAGUGGCGAAGGCGUCUUACUGGACCGAAACUGACGUUGAGGCGCGAAAGCGUGGGGAGCAAACAGGAUUAGAUACCCUGGUAGUC
rnacentral:rRNA from 1 species